rnacentral:rRNA from 1 species
AACUAACGCUGGCGGCGCGUCUUAAACAUGCAAGUCAAACGGCUGUAGCAAUACAGCAGUGGCGAACGGGUGAGUAACACGUAGGUAAUCUACCCUCGAGUUGGGGAUAACCUACCGAAAGGUAGGCUAAUACCGAAUAGAAUCAUGAUAGCGAGAGCUGAUAUGAUUAAAGGAGCGAUUCGCUCGAGGAUGAGCCUGCGGCUGAUUAGCUAGUUGGUGAGGUAAAGGCUCACCAAGGCGACGAUCAGUAGCCGGCCUGAGAGGGUGAACGGCCACAUUGGGGCGGGGACACGGCCCAGACUCCGACGGGAGGCAGCAGUGGGGAAUAUUGGACAAUGGGCGAAAGCCUGAUCCAGCCAUGCCGCGUGUGUGAAGAAGGUCUUCGGAUUGUAAAGCACUUUAAGUCGGGAGGAAGGGUUGCAGGUUAAUACCUUGCAGCCUUGACGUUACCGACAGAAUAAGCACCGGCUAACUUCGUGCCAGCCGCCGCAGUAA